UGGGGAAUAUUGCACAAUGGGCGCAAGCCUGAUGCAGCCAUGCCGCGUGUAUGAAGAAGGCCUUCGGGUUGUAAAGUACUUUCAGCGGGGAGGAAGGGAGUAAAGUUAAUACCUUUGCUCAUUGACGUUACCCGCAGAAGAAGCACCGGCUAACUCCGUGCCAGCAGCCGCGGUAAUACGGAGGGUGCAAGCGUUAAUCGGAAUUACUGGGCGUAAAGCGCACGCAGGCGGUUUGUUAAGUCAGAUGUGAAAUCCCCGGGCUCAACCUGGGAACUGCAUCUGAUACUGGCAGGCUAGAGUCUGUUAGAGGGGGGUAGAAUUCCAGGUGUAGCGGUGAAAUGCGUAGAGAUCUGGAGGAAUACCGGUGGCGAAGGCGGCCCCCUGGACAAAGACUGACGCUCAGGUGCGAAAGCGUGGGGAGCAAACAGG
rnacentral:rRNA from 1 species